rnacentral:lncRNA from 1 species
UUAUUUUCAUAUCUAAUUAUAAUAUUUAAAGUUUCGAAAAUGGAGUAGAUCAAAUAGAUACAUGAACACUUAAAAAUUAAAAAAUUAAAAUUGUUUCACGUGGGCUCGACCGCAUUUCUACAUAUGUGGCUCAGAAAGUGUAAAGCAUCCAUAUUAAAAAGGGAUGCAAGUAGGUAUUCCAUCUGAAAACAAUGGAAACUAACGGUCGAAAUGUUUUCUUACUAACCCUUUCUAUUUUUCAGUAGGCCUGUACGCUCC